rnacentral:rRNA from 1 species
CUUGACAUGCCACUAACGAAGCAGAGAUGCAUUAGGUGCUCGAAAGAGAAAGUGGACACAGGUGCUGCAUGGCUGUCGUCAGCUCGUGUCGUGAGAUGUUGGGUUAAGUCCCGCAACGAGCGCAACCCUUGUCUCUAGUUGCUACGAAAGGGCACUCUAGAGAGACUGCCGGUGACAAACCGGAGGAAGGUGGGGAUGACGUCAAGUCCUCAUGGCCCUUAUGGGUAG